CUACAGCGGUCUGCGAAGAGUGUGGGAAGCAUGCGUUUCAGCGUUGGGCAAGCGAACUGCGGCAUGGUCGUGUUUAAUUUGGCUAUGAAAUUUUAUUCAUGUAUAUGUUGUAGUUAUUAUUAUUAUUGCAGCUGACUGCUAGUGCAUAUAUGAUGGGGAGGUGUAAAGUUAGAGCACUGAAAGCAAUGACUGCGCGUUUGAGCAGCGGGACUUGACUAGGCCGCAUGAGCAAAGAAAACGAAGGAUGGUGAUUGCUCUAGUGGAUGUUUUCUGCACUUCACCACGUGGACAGGGUGGUGUCAUACAGUCUCGUGGAGGACGGCCAGCAGCGAGGGGCCUUCAGUGUGAAUGGAUGUUCAGGAUAAUGACACAGGACCAGCCUGUGAUGCUCAAGAAGUGGACCCAGGCUUGAAGUUGCAGUGUCUCAGAUAAACAUGUUUUUUUUUGGGGGG